rnacentral:rRNA from 1 species
AAUGGACGCUGGCGGCGUGGAUAAGACAUGCAAGUCGAACGGAGUUAGCAAUAAGCUUGCUUAAGGCAAACUCAGUGGCGAACGGGUGAGUAACACGUGAAUAAUCUGCCUUGAAGUGGGGGAUAGCCCUGGGAAACUAGGAUUAAUACCGCAUGUGGUCGAGAGACUAAAGCAGCAAUGCGCCUUAAGAUGAGUUCGCGUCCUAUUAGCUAGUUGGUGAGGUAACUGCUCACCAAGGCCUUGAUAGGUAGCCGGUCUGAGAGGAUGUCCGGCCACACUGGAACUGAGACACGGUCCAGACACCUACGGGUGGCAGCAGUCGAGAAUCAUUCACGAUGGGGGCAACCCUGAUGGUGCGACGCCGCGUGGGGGAAGAAUGUCUUCGGAUUGUAAACCCCUGUCAUGUGGGAGUAAGCUAGUGAUAGUUGAUAGUACCACAAGAGGAAGAGACGGCAAACUCUGUGCCAGCCGCCGCAGUAA